AGAGCGAACGCUGGCGGCAUGCUUAACACAUGCAGGUCGCACGGUCAGCAAUGGCAGUGGCGGACGGGUGAGUAACACGUAGGAAUCUAUCCCGGGGUGGGGGACAACAGUGGGAAACUGCUGCUAAUACCGCAUGAUACCUGAGGGUCAAAGGCGCAAGUCGCCUUGGGAGGAGCCUGCGUCUGAUUAGCUUGUUGGUGGGGUAAAGGCCUACCAAGGCUACGAUCAGUAGCUGGUCUGAGAGGAUGAUCAGCCACAUUGGGACUGAGACACGGCCAAACUCCUACGGGAGGCAGCAGUGGGGAAUAUUGGACAAUGGGGGAAACCCUGAUCCAGCAAUGCCGCGUGUGUGAAGAAGGUCUUCGGAUUGUAAAGCACUUUUGGCAGGGACGAUGAUGACGGUACCUGCAGAAUAAGCCCCGGCUAACUUCGUGCCAGCAGCCGCGGUAAUACGAAGGGAGCUAGCAUUGCUCGGAAUGACUGGGCGUAAAGGGCGCGUAGGCGGCAUACACAGUCAGAAGUGAAAUUCCUGGGCUCAACCUGGGGACUGCUUUUGAUACGUGUGAGCUAGAGUGAAGAAGAGGGUUGUGGAAUUUCCAGUGUAGAGGUGAAAUUCGUAGAUAUUGGAAAGAACACCGGUGGCGAAGGCGGCAACCUGGUCUUUAACUGACGCCGAGGCGCGAAAGCGUGGGGAGCAAACAGGAUUAGAUACCCUGGUAGUCCACGCUGUAAACGAUGUGUGCUGGAUGUCGGGGAACUUAGUUUCUCAGUGUCGUAGCUAACGCGAUAAGCACACCGCCUGGGGAGUACGGCCGCAAGGUUG
rnacentral:rRNA from 1 species